rnacentral:sRNA from 1 species
GUUGUGUCCCUGUGGCUUUGGUGCGCCUGUGUGCACUUUCUCCCUCCACCUGGAGCAUGGGCUGACACCGGAGGAAAGGAAAAGACAGAGUCAGACAGGGGACAAUGAAGCCUUUGAAGUGCCAGUCUAUGAAGAGGCCGUGGUGGGACUAGAAUCCCAGUGCCGCCCCCAAGAGUUGGACCAACCACCCCCCUACAGCACUGUUGUGAUAUCCCCAGCACCUGAGGACGAACAACCUAGCCAUCCAGAGGGGUCCAGGAGAGCCAAACUGGAACAGAGGCGAAUGGCCUCAGAGGGGUCCAUGGCCCAGGAAGGAAGCCCUGGAAGAGCUCCAAUCAACCUUCGGCUUCGGGGACCACGGGCUGUGUCCACUGCUCCUGAUCUGCAGAGCUUGGCGGCAGUCCCCAGAUUAGAGCCUCUGACUCCACCUCCUGCCUAUGAUGUCUGCUUUGGUCACCCUGAUGAUGAUAGUGUUUUUUAUGAGGACAACUGGGCACCCCCUUAAAUGACUCUCCCAAGAUUUCUCUUCUCUCCACACCAGACCUCGUUCAUUUGACUAACAUUUUCCAGCGCCUACUAUGUGUCAGAAACAAGUGUUUCUACCUGGACAUCAUAAAUGGGGACUUGGACCCUGAGGAGAGUCAGGCCACGGUAAGCCCUUCCCAGCUGAGAUAUGGGUGGCAUAAUUUGAGUCUUCUGGCAACAUUUGGUGACCUACCCCAUAUCCAAUAUUUCCAGCGUUAGAUUGAGGAUGAGGUAGGGAGGUGAUCCAGAGAAGGUGGAGAAGGAAGAAGUAACCUCUGAGUGGCGGCUAUUGCUUCUGUUCCAGGUGCUGUUCGAGCUGUUAGAUCCCUUAGGCUUGACAGCUUUGUGAGUUAUUAUUGAAAAAUGAGGAUUCCAAGAGUCAGAGGAGUUUGAUAAUGUGCACGAGGGCACACUGCUAGUAAAUAACAUUAGAAUAACUGGAAUGAACUCCUGAUCCCAAAGCCUAUUGUGUUUUCAACACAAGGUAAUAGGAAGCCAAGCAACUUGCAUGUCUCCCAAUCCCUGUCUAGGGACAGCUGCUGGUGCAGGAUGGAAGACUUCCUAUAAACAGAAUGGGCGACCAAUUGUGUCUACAGAAGGGGUGGGCUGAGCAUGGGCACGCAUGUCCCCAGCCUCCUGGACGAGCAAAGUCAGUCAAAGCGCUGGUGAUCCCUGCUCCGCGUGCGUAGCAGUGUCUGUGCCUCUCCUGCCCAGGGGCUAGACAGCAGUCUCCAGUGCAGGGUCCCCAUCCUAUCUGAAAACAGUAGAGUCAGUGGCCCCAGGUGGAGGGACUUCCAGUUUUAACAAUGGGUUGGUAUGAAGGCCAGAAAGAGUGAAACAUGUGAGCUUUCUGGCGAGGAGACUCCCUCUUGAAUCAUCCAUAUGUAGCCCCGGGGUCACUUGCGAGGAGUCUCUAACAGCUUCUGCCUCACUCCUAAGCUCUGACCGCUAGGCUUUCACCCCAGCCGCCGGUCCUGAUUCCUGAGAUCUCAAUAUUGAGCACCAGGUUUCCUGGAAUUGUGUGCUGCGGCUGUGAUGUAGGUUUCGGUCGCUGGAAGCUGCUAAACCAUAGCUGACGCCCCCUCCUAAGCCAGCCUUCCUUCCCCGCGCGGGCAUCUGUCCAGGGCCUUGUUGCGCUCUCAGUCUCCUUCGCAGCCUGGCCCCAACUGUUCAACUUCAAUAAAGCAAAACUCCAGCCA